rnacentral:rRNA from 1 species
CAGUCGCCACGGUAAUACGAAGGGUGCAAGCGUUAAUCGGAAUUACUGUGCGUAAAGCGUGCGUAGGCGGUGAGUUAAGUCUGCUGUGAAAUCCCCGGGCUCAACCUGGGAAUGGCAGUGGAUACUGGCUCGCUAGAGUGUGUCAGAGGAUGGUGGAAUUCCCGGCGUAGCGGUGAAAUGCGUAGAGAUCGGGAGGAACAUCAGUGGCGAAGGCGGCCAUCUGGGACAACACUGACGCUGAGGCACGAAAGCGUGGGGAGCAAACAGGAUUAGAUACCCCGGUAGUCCCUGUCUCUUAUAA